rnacentral:rRNA from 1 species
GACGAACGCUGGCGGCAGGCCUAACACAUGCAAGUCGAACGAGUGGCGGACGGGUGAGUAAUGUAUGGGAAACUGCCCGAUGGAGGGGGAUAACUACUGGAAACGGUAGCUAAUACCGCAUACUAUCGGAUGUGCCCAUAUGGGAUUAGCUAGUAGGUGGGGUAAAGGCUCACCUAGGCGACGCUCCCUAGCUGGUAUGAGAGGAUGACCAGCCACACUGGAACUGAGACACGGUCCAGACUCCUACGGGAGGCAGCAGUGGGGAAUUGUGCACAAUGGGGGCAACCCUGAUGCAGCCAUGCCGCGUGUAUGAAGAAGGCCUUCGGGUUGUAAAGUACUUUCAGCGGGGAGGCGUUACCCGCAGAAGAAGCACCGGCUAACUCCGUGCCAGCAGCCGCGGUAAUUC